GGACGGUGUGACUUGGAGCAGUCUGCCCGAGGGAUCCCCAGGUACGGGGCUGUGGACGUUGCGACUUGGAGCAGUCUGCCCGAGGGACCCCCAGGUACGGGGCUGUGGACGGUGCGACUUGGAGCAGUCUGCCCGAGGGACCACCAGGUACGGGGCUGUGGACGGUGCGACUUGGAGCAGCCUGCCCGAGGGAUCCCCAGGUACGGGGCUGUGGACGGUGCGACUUGGAGCAUUCUGCCCGAGGGAUCCCCAGGUACAGGGCUGUGGAUGGUGUGACUUGGAGCAGCCUGCCCGAGGGACCCCCAGGUACUGGGCUGCAGACGGUGCGACUUGGAGCAGCCUGCCCGAGGGACCCCCAGGUACAGGGCUGCAGACGGUGCGACUUGGAGCAGCCUGCCCGAGGGAUCCCCAGGUACGGGGCUGUGGACGGCGCGACUUGGAGCAAUCUGCCCGAGGGAUCCCCAGGUACGGGGCUGUGGACGGUGCGACUUGGAGAAGUCUGCCCGAGGGAUCCCCAGGUACGGGGCUGGGCUGCCACUGGGCUGGCAGGGCCUUGACAUACUAAUAUUUUAUUUUCCCUCAGCACAUGAGACGGGUAAUUAAUUAACUCAGUGCAGCCCAGACUGAGCCAGUAGUGCAUAUCUGACUCCCUGAAGCAUCUUUUCAAGAGAGAAAAAAA
ensembl:lncRNA